rnacentral:lncRNA from 1 species
GAUCCAGAAAGAUGGCUACCAAUGACAGAACGUUCUGACUAUUGAGGAAGAAAGAAGGGUAAAAAGAAGGAUCAGAUUGGAAAAGGGACCCAGGGGGCAACUGCAGGGGCCUCAUCUGAACUGGAUGCCAGUAAAACUGUGAGCAGCCCACCCACCUCUCCAAGACCUGGCAGUGCAGCAACAGUCUCUGCCUUUACAAGUAAUAUCAUGCCCCCAAGACACCAGAAACCUGCAGGGGCCCCAGCAACAAAAAAGAAACAGCAACAGAAAAAGAAGAAAGGAAAAGGUGGCUGGUGAUAGAAUGUCCUUGUUGCAGGCUGUUUUUAAAUAUCCUCA